rnacentral:rRNA from 1 species
GAGUUUGAUCAUGGCUCAGAUUGAACGCUGGCGGCAGGCCUAACACAUGCAAGUCGAGCGGAUGANAGGAGCUUGCUCCCUGAUUUAGCGGCGGACGGGUGAGUAAUGCCUAGGAAUCUGCCUGGUAGUGGGGGAUAACGUUCCGAAAGGAACGCUAAUACCGCAUACGUCCUACGGGAGAAAGCAGGGGACCUUCGGGCCUUGCGCUAUCAGAUGAGCCUAGGUCGGAUUAGCUAGUUGGUGAGGUAAUGGCUCACCAAGGCGACGAUCCGUAACUGGUCUGAGAGGAUGAUCAGUCACACUGGAACUGAGACACGGUCCAGACUCCUACGGGAGGCAGCAGUGGGGAAUAUUGGACAAUGGGCGAAAGCCUGAUCCAGCCAUGCCGCGUGUGUGAAGAAGGUCUUCGGAUUGUAAAGCACUUUAAGUUGGGAGGAAGGGCAGUAAGCUAAUACCUUGCUGUUUUGACGUUACCGACAGAAUAAGCACCGGCUAACUUCGUGCCAGCAGCCGCGGUAAUACGAAGGGUGCAAGCGUUAAUCGGAAUUACUGGGCGUAAAGCGCGCGUAGGUGGUUCGUUAAGUUGGAUGUGAAAGCCCCGGGCUCAACCUGGGAACUGCAUCCAAAACUGGCGAGCUAGAGUACGGUAGAGGGUGGUGGAAUUUCCUGUGUAGCGGUGAAAUGCGUAGAUAUAGGAAGGAACACCAGUGGCGAAGGCGACCACCUGGACUGAUACUGACACUGAGGUGCGAAAGCGUGGGGAGCCAACAGGAUUAGAU